CAUCUAAAAAAAGAAGAAAUGGUCUUUUCUUGUUAGGGGUAACAUGUUUUAAAAUCGUGUCAGGGUUUUCUUUUGUAGUAGAGAAAAAAAAAUUACAUCUUUUUAAUUUUGUGCUAGCUCUAGUACCAGUAGUGAUAGAUCGCAUGUCCAAACUUGAAGUCCAUAAUUAGCUGAACUUGACAAAAUAUCCAUUUAUUGAAGGCAAACCUAAUUUUUCCCCUUCAUUAUAUCUAUGCAGAAAAUUGCAAGCGUGUGCCUAAUUUAUAACACAUUUUAAAGACUGAUCUCUGAUGAAAUUGUUUGUUCAUCAAACAGUGCAAGAAUAAUAAUUACCUUGGUGCUUUUUGAUGAAACUAUUAGCCGGAUUUUGAGACACUCACGAGGGUCUUGACUCCUGAAUCCAUCCCC
rnacentral:misc_RNA from 1 species